GCGCGAAAACUCUCCAAUGUGCGAAAGCGUGAGAGGGGAACUCCCAGUGCUUACAGAUUUUCUGUAGGCUUUUGCCAUGUGUAAAUAGCAUGGCGAAUAAGUGGUGGGCAAGACUGGUGCCAGCCGCCGCGGUAACACCAGCGCCACAAGUGGCUAUCACGAUUAUUGGGCCUAAAGCGUCCGUAGUCGGCUUAGUGCAUCCUCUGUGAAAUCGCAACGCUCAACGUUGCGGCAUGCGGGGGACACGACUAAGCUUGGGAGCGGGAGGCGUCAGGGGUAUUCCAAGGGGACCGGUAAAAUGGUAUAAUCCUUGGAGGACCACCUGUGGCGAAGGCGCCUGACGAGAACGCAUCCGACGAUGAGGGACGAAAGCCAGGGGAGCAAAACGG
rnacentral:rRNA from 1 species